rnacentral:lncRNA from 1 species
CCUGACCAGACCUUUGCUCUCUAACUCCGGCUGGACAGAGGCAGCCCAGCAGCCCCCUAGCAUCCAUCUGGCUUGGGGAGUGGUGCCCCAGGGCUUAUGAGUGAGCUGGAACCCCAUGUCCUGGAAUCCCGAGUGGCUGUGACUGCUGACUGAUGCCCCCCUCCCCACAGUUCUGGAGAGUGGCUCAGCAGUCUCCCCGAGCUCCGGCCCUAGCAGUCCUCCCGUCUCCCCUCUGUCUGGACAUCGCCUUCUUACAAUGCAGAACAGACGAUGCACUGUCUCAGGUCACGCUUAGCCUCCUACGGGGGCACGACAGAAGAAGAGGAACAUUUAGAGAGGCACAGCUCCUACAUCCUUGGAUGGGGAGAGUGGGGAGCAAACAGGCCAGGAGCCUACUGUGAUCAGAGCUGGGGGAGCCAGUGUGAGCAGCAGGUGCAAUGAAAGGAUGUGGGAGUUUGAGACCCAUCUCUGCUGUGUGGCCCUGGCCAUGUGCAGUGGGUAAGUACAUCAGCAAGCAAACUGGCCUCAAGAAUCCCGCCCUAUCCUGGGCAUCUGGGGUUGAGGCUGGCUGUGCCAACCUUUGCACAGGGUUUCAAUCUGACCUCACUCAGAAAACGGAGCCACUUGCUUAGAGUCCCUCUCUCUGAACACGCUCUCCCCUCUGGAGGAAAAGCAUUGCAAUCCCAAGCUCCUGCUGCUGCCGUACAUCUGCAUCUUAUUCAUCUUUGAAGCUCCUGCAAUGCCUCCAACGGGGACACAACUAAAGGAAGCUCUCAGAACGCCCAGCUAUCCCCACUGCAGAAGGCUCUCCCUGAAAGGGCACAGGUGGAGGACGUUUGCAUUUAUCUGGAGACAGUUCAUGGAGAAACACAAAGAGGUGUCCUGACAAGACAACAGGUCCACAGCAGUCGUCAUCAUGAGUGCUCACCAUAUGCCAGGGUUCAUCUUUUAAAAUCCUUAACCAAACAACCAAACUGUGGUUGGGAUUAUUCUCUUUUUAUAGGUGAGAAAACUGAGGCUGAAAGCCAUUGGGUGGUUUGCCAAAGCUGAGAAGUAGCUGAGCUGGGGUUUGUACUCACACCACGGUGACUCGGAGGCCCAAGCCAGUUCUGACACACUGCCUUCCCAUGACAUUCCCACGACAGGUUCCCGAGGUCGUUGGAAUGCUUACACAUUUCAGCAACUUCAUGGCAACUGCCCAGCUCGACCCAGAAGAUAAUACUACCUUGUACUCCCCCUGCCGCUUCCUUCCUCCAGGCAGCUCACAGACAUGACCUCAUUCCCUCUCCCAGAGUCCCAUAGGGGUGAAGGACAGGGUGGGGAUCGUUAACUCUGCUUCCUAGGGAGGAAAGGGAGGCCCAGAGAGGGAUGCUGGCCCACCCUGGGUCAUCCAGCCAGCUAGCGGGAGAGCUGCAACUGGAAAUCAGGCUUCCCUGCCCUCGGGGACAGUUAUUU